CUUUAAAAGUUUCUUAGCUUAUAAAUUCAUUUAUAUUCAUCGUUACGUUGUAAUUUCAGAUUAUACGACAAAAACGCAAUGAUUUAAAACAUGUUGAUAUAAAUGCUUACGAAAAUCAGUCUGUGUUUGGGCAAGUCGAUAAAGUGGAUUCGUUUCUAGAUCAUCUAAUACUAUUAUCCCAGCGACAGAAUGGUUUCACAGACACAGAACUGCGUGAAGAGAUUACUACGUUUCUACUAGCUGCUACAGAUACAACGGCGAUUGCAAUUUGUAAUACGCUUUUUUUGUUAGGAAAAUAUCCGAAAAUUCAGGAAAAAGUACAUGAAGAAUUAGUACGUGUGUUUGAGAAUCAUAAUGAAAAAUUAUAUAAAGAUGUUUUAAGUGAAUUGAAAUAUUUGGAUAUGGUUUUAAAAGAGUCUCUUCGUCUAUACCCACCUGUACCCAUGAUUACUCGGAAAGCAACUGAAGAAAUUA